CCUACGGGAGGCAGCAGUGAGGAAUAUUGGUCAAUGGCCGGAAGGCUGAACCAGCCAUGCCGCGUGCAGGUCAGUGCCCUAUGGGCGUUAAACUUCUUUUGUGCGGGAGCAAUAAUGGUCACGUGUGGCCAGACGAGAGUACCGUACGAAUAAGCAUCGGCUAACUCCGUGCCAGCAGCCGCGGUAAUACUGGGGAUGCAAGCGUUAUCCGGAUUUAUUGGGUUUAAAGGGUGCGUAGGCUGGUAGGUAAGUCAGCGGUGAAAUGCCCCCGCUCAACGGGGUGAAGUGCCAUUGAUACUGCCUUGCUAGAAUGCGGAUGCCGUAGGAGGAAUGUGUGGUGUAGCGGUGAAAUGCAUAGAGAUCACACAGAACACCGAUUGCGAAGGCAUCUCACGAAUCCGCGAUUGACGCUGAGGCACGAAAGCGUGGGUAUCAAACAGGAUUAGAUACCCGAGUAGUC
rnacentral:rRNA from 1 species